GAUGAACGCUGGCGGCGUGCUUAACACAUGCAAGUCGAACGAGAAGUGAAGACGGUAGCCUUCGGGCGGAAGGCUUUAUUUCGAGUGGCGGACGGUGGAUUAACGCGUUGGUAACCUGCCUCAUACAGGGGGAUAACAGUUUGAAACGACUGUUAAUACCGCAUCAGACCACAGCACCGCAUGGUGCGGUGGUAAAAACUCCUGUGGUAUGAGAUGGACCCGCGUUCGAUUAGCCAGUUGGCGGGGUAACGGCCCACCAAAGCGACUAUCGAUAGCCGAUCUGAGAGGAUGACCGGCCACAUUGGGACUGAGACACGGCACAAACUCCUACGGGAGGCAGCAGUGGGGAAUAUUGCACAAUGGGGGAAACCCUGAUGCAGCGACGCCGCGUGAGUGAAGAAGUAUUUCGGUAUGUAAAGCUCUAUCAGCAGGGAAGAAAAUGACGGUACCUGAGUAAGAAGCCCCGGCUAACUACGUG
rnacentral:rRNA from 1 species